AGCUCACUAGUCGAGUGACCCUGCGCCGAAAAUGUACCGGGGCUAAGCCUGAUACCGAAACUGCGGAUUGUAGGAAACUAUAGUGGUAGGGGAGCGUUGUAUACGAGCAGAAGCCGUACCGUGAGGAGCGGUGGAUUGUAUAGAAGUGAGAAUGCCGGUGUGAGUAGCGAGAUGUAGGUGAGAAUCCUACACACCGAAAGCCCAAGGAUUCCAGGGGAAGGUUCGUCCGCCCUGGGUAAGUCGGGACCUAACGCGAGGCCGAAAGGCGUAGUGGAUGGAAAGCAGGCGAAAGAUUCCUGCACCCGUAUAUGGAGCGAAGGAGUGACGGAGACGGAUAGUGUGACCCUCUUAAUGGAUUGAGGGCGAAGCGAAGCGGCUGGUUACCAGGCAAAUCCGGUAACCAUAAGGCUAGAGCGUGACAGGUAAGCGAAAUCUUAGGAAAGUAGCGAAGCACAUGAUGACGGCUUCCAGGAAAAGCUUCUGGCAAUGCAUAUGCGGCCCGUACCAAAACCGACACAGGUGGGCAGGGAGAGAAUCCCGAGGUGAGCGAGAGAACUGUUGCCAAGGAACUCGGCAAAAUGACUCCGUAAGUUAGCGAGAAGGAGUGCUUAAGCAAUUAAGCCGCAGUGAAGAGGCCCAAGCGACUGUUUAACUAAAACACAGCUCUCUGCGAAGUCGCAAGACGAAGUAUAGGGGGUGACACCUGCCCGGUGCUGGAAGGUUAAGAGGAUCUGUUAAGAGCGAUCUGAAGCAGUGAUCCGAAGCCCCAGUGAACGGCGGCCGUAACUAUAACGGUCCUAAGGUAGCGAAAUUCCUUGUCAGGUAAGUUCUGACCCGCACGAAAGGUGUAACGAUUUGGGCGCUGUCUCGGCAGCAGACUCGGUGAAAUCUUAGUACCUGUGAAAAUGCAGGUUACCCGCAACUAGACGGAAAGACCCCAUGGAGCUUUACUGCAGCCUGAUAUUGAAUUCUGGUCAUACAUGUACAGGAUAGGUGGGAGACAAAGAGACGUGCACGCCAGUGUACGAGGAGUCGACGUUGGGAUACCACUCUUGUGUGACCGGGGUUCUAACCUGGUAUCGAGAACAGGUACGGGGAGAGUGUCAGGUGGGCAGUUUGACUGGGGCGGUCGCCUCCCAAAGAGUAACGGAGGCGCCCAAAGGUACGCUCAGAUUGGAUGGAAACCAAUCGUCGAGUGCAAUUGCAGAAGCGUGCUUGACUGUGAGACAGACAAGUCGAACAGGGACGAAAGUCGGGAAUAGUGAUCCGGCGGUGCCGAAUGGAAGGGCCGUCGCUCAACGGAUAAAAGCUACCCUGGGG
rnacentral:rRNA from 1 species